rnacentral:rRNA from 1 species
AUUGAACGCUGGCGGCAGGCUUAACACGUGCAAGUCGAGCAGAGUGAUGGUGCUUGCACUAUCACUUAGCGGCGGACGGGUGAGUAAUGCUUAGGAAUCUGCCUAUUAGUGGGGGACAACAUCUCGAAAGGGAUGCUAAUACCGCAUACGUCCUACGGGAGAAAGCAGGGGAUCACUUGUGACCUUGCGCUAAUAGAUGAGCCUAAGUCGGAUUAGCUAGUUGGUGGGGUAAAGGCCUACCAAGGCGACGAUCUGUAGCGGGUCUGAGAGGAUGAUCCGCCACACUGGGACUGAGACACGGCCCAGACUCCUACGGGAGGCAGCAGUGGGGAAUAUUGGACAAUGGGGGGAACCCUGAUCCAGCCAUGCCGCGUGUGUGAAGAAGGCCUUAUGGUUGUAAAGCACUUUAAGCGAGGAGGAGGCUCUUUUGGUUAAUACCCAGGAUGAGUGGACGUUACUCGCAGAAUAAGCACCGGCUAACUCUGUGCCAGCAGCCGCCGUAAUAC